UACGUAGGGUGCGAGCGUUGUCCGGAAUUAUUGGGCGUAAAGAGCUCGUAGGCGGUGUGUCACGUCGGCCGUGAAAACCUGCAGCUUAACUGUGGGCGUGCGGUCGAUACGGGCAUCACUGGAGUUCGGCAGGGGAGACUGGAAUUCCUGGUGUAGCGGUGAAAUGCGCAGAUAUCAGGAGGAACACCGGUGGCGAAGGCGGGUCUCUGGGCCGAUACUGACGCUGAUGCGCGAAAGCUAGGGGAGCGAACGGG
rnacentral:rRNA from 1 species